GGUCUGCUGGCCCAAUGGUUAAGGCGCUUGACUACGAAUCAAGAGAUUCCAGGUUCGAGUCCUGGGUAGAUCA
rnacentral:tRNA from 1 species